AUUUUCAAUUCGACAAACUGCACAAAGGCUCACGGCAAUAAGAGUUCAGAGUCAACGCUAGUAAGAAAUAGUGAAGAAAAUGAGGGACGGGACACACGGAUGUGAUACUCAAACAGAGGCUUUUUUUUUUUCUCGUUCCCAAUCUGAACUAUACAAAAGUUAUCUGGAUGUUGUGUGUGUGAGUGUAGGUUUAAUAAAAUGCA